GAUGAACGCUGGCGGCGUGCCUAAUACAUGCAAGUCGAGCGAACAGACGAGGAGCUUGCUCCUCUGACGUUAGCGGCGGACGGGUGAGUAAAACGUGGAUAACCCACCUAUAUGACUGGGAUAACUUCGGGAAACCGGAGCUAAUACCGGAUAAUAUAUUUAACCGCAUGGUUCAAUAGUGAAAGACGGUUUUGCUGUCACUUAUAGAUGGAUCCGCGCCGCAUUAGCUAGUUGGUAAGGUAACGGCUUACCAAGGCAACGAUGCGUAGCCGACCUGAGAGGGUGAUCGGCCACACUGGAACUGAGACACGGUCCAGACUCCUACGGGAGGCAGCAGUAGGGAAUCUUCCGCAAUGGGCGAAAGCCUGACGGAGCAACGCCGCGUGAGUGAUGAAGGUCUUCGGAUCGUAAAACUCUGUUAUAAGGGAAGAACAAAUGUGUAAGUAACUAUGCACGUCUUGACGGUACCUAAUCAGAAAGCCACGGCUAACUACGUG
rnacentral:rRNA from 1 species